rnacentral:lncRNA from 1 species
GGCGAGAGAAGGAAGAUGGCACAGGUGAUGGGGGUCCCUAGCAGCUAUCUCUACCACCCCCACCACGUUGGGGAAACAUCGGUCAUAGGCGUGUCCUGAUCCCUGGUGGUGACCCUCUUCUCUCCUUGCUCCUAGUAUUUCUGCCUUUCGCUUAUUAUCUGGUUGAGCUGGUGGCGGGAGUCCCGGCCCAUGUGUGUUACCAGAGGGUGAGUGGACGCUUCCUCCUCCUCCAUUCUCUGUCCGUGUCCCGAUGAAGCCAUGCGCGGGGAUAAGGGGGGUGCGUGGUGAUGGGGGGAAGCUGCGGCAGGCACAGGGGUGGUCCCGCUUUCCACCCUGGCAAUCUUCCACACAUCUGGAUCCCAGCUGCUGGCCCUGGCUUCAGCAAUUCCCUGACUCCACUGAUGCUGAUGUCUUCUGCAUGGGAGUUGGGGAGGGGGGCUUCCCGUGGGAGCUUAGGUCAUCCCUCUCCCCUUUCAAGGAUGGUCUAGAGGAUGAAUCCAUCUGUCAGAGGCAUCCAAGAAGAAAGGCCUGGGCCAGGAUCACAUGGAAGACCCUGAAGACAGGAUCGGGUCUUGCCUGCCUGGAUUGAACAGGGACGCAGUGACCAGUCCCAUCUGCUCCCACCCUGCUGCCCUCUGAAUCGAGAGUUUGAGGCCAUGACCAGGGUAACGUUCAGCUGGUAGAGACAACACAACCCUGCUGGCUGUUUAAGCCAUGCUGGAAUGGUGCUCACAGGGUAACAAUUGUAAGUAUUUUGAAUAUCACCUCUUAAUCAAAAUUAAAAUCAACAGACAUUUCAGUUUCUGGUGUCUAGCCUCACCUCCGCCUCCCACCACCUCUGGCUGCCACCCUUUACCUGAGCCUCCCAGCCUCCCUCAGCAUUGCCCAGUGCACCUGCGCCCUGAAUCAGGGCCCAGCUUCUGUACCCUCCUCUUUAUGGCCAUCUUCUGCCCUGUUUCCCACUGAUAGUCAUCGCACCAUCCACAGGCCACAGUGCUCUAGAGUUAGCUGGGGAGGCCUGGGAGCAGACCUGGGUGGUAGGCAAGGGUGGGGUGGUCCCGCUGAUGCCAUCUUAUCACUCCUCAGCUGAGUGAUGAACAGAAGCAGCACUUGAGCCAGACUCUGACCAAGAACUACGGGCAGGCUAGAGCCACACAGAUCCCCGCCUCAGUAGACCGGCUGCAGCAGGAGGUACACCAUGCCCUAUGGCCUUGAAGGCCAAGCAGACACAGGUUCAAAUCCUGACUCUCUUCUUUCCUGUCUGUGUGGCCCUGGGCAAGUUACUUACCCUCUCUGAGCCUCGGUUGCCACAUCCCUAAAAUGAAGCCUCUUUAGGGUAUGUGAGCAUUAAAUUCGGUCACACCUGUAAAGUCCCUACCACCGUGAGAAGUGCCUGCUGAAGCCUGGUUCCUCUCCCUCCCUCUCCUUGACUCCCUCCUCCAAACCCACCCCUGCUGUCUUCCCGUUCUGGGUCCUGGUGGGCAGGAAGCUGGCAGUACCAGGAGAACUCCAUCUCCUGCCAGGAUCUGGGCCAGGAAGCCUCUCUCCGGGUUUCUUCUGUCUGUGAGGCUGCCUUCCUUCUUCCCUGGGGAGCGGGGAGCUGUAGCCCCAUAAGAGGGAGCGCUACCCGACGGGGGUAUUUCAGCUAAGCCACCAACAGAACUCCCCAGUUGUGAGCCAGCAGGCAGGAUGCUGAGGGACAGAAAGGUGGUCUCCUUUCCAAGAAAAGAUGCGGCAGAUCCCUCCAGCGAGGCCCACCAUCCUGCCAGACAUAGGGGGCGGGCAGUGGACCUCAGAGCUGUGCUGUCCAAUACGGCAGCCGCCGCCCACAUGUGGCUAUUUACAGUUAAAUUAAACAAAAUCCAGUUCCUUGCUCACACCAACCACAUUUCAGGCGCUCAGGAGCCCCAGAUGGUGAGUGAACGCCGAGCCGGGCAGCACAGAUGCAGGACGCUGCCUCCAUCGCAGAAAGUUCUCCUGGACGGCACUGUUCCAGAUCCUGAUGGGUCUGUGUCAGAAAAUCCAAGUCUGCUCUACCCACCUGCUCUGGUCCCCCUCUCUCUGCCACCCUACUCCCCACCCUCACCCCCUGGGCCUGGGGCCUUGGUCUUGGCCCAGGGAACGUCACGCAAGUGGAGGACAUAGACGUCAUGAGCUCCAAGAUCCAGGGGCAUCAUGGCUCAGUGCGGAAGCCCUCACCCCAACUCCCCGAGACUCAGGCUCAGCUCCCAGUUGGCAGAGGGGUCUCUUUUCUGAAAUAGUGGCCUAGGGCACACGUGUAUACACAGGUGCACACCCACAGGCACACGUGUACCCCACAGACUUAGCCCUGGACUGGGAUGGGGCAGCACAUACCGCUGGUCAGCCCUGUGCAAGACUAAGUGUGCAGUCACUGGGCUGCGCCUGUGAGGACCUGGGCGAGACAAGAAUAGGACAGAAUCCCGCCCGCGGGCUCGCUCAGAAAGCCAGACACACAGCAGGCAACGUGCAGACAGUGCGAGGCUGGGGCACCCCCAGAAUAGGGAGCAGGGGAGGUGGGGAGGGCUCCGUGGGGCAGGGGCAGGGUUUGCUUAGGUGGAGGGGGUGGGAGUGGCACGAGGAAAGGUGCCACUAAGAGCAGAGGCCGUGUCACCAACCAAGACCUGCAGGGCACCAGUGCACGCGAACGCAGGCCCUCACACAGGCCGGGAACAGUCAGAACCCCAACCUGCAUCUCAGGCAGGAGACCGAGCCCCCAGAAAGCAGUGGCUGCAGAGCCAGGGCUAGCGUCGGGCCCCCCAGCAGCACCCCAUGGAUGUAAAUGACACGGGCACGCGCACCUGCAUUCACACAACGAUGAUCACAAAAGUGUCUCUCAUUAACUGCGAGUGCUGCGCCAGGCUCUCUUCUAAUUGCUUUCCAUGAAUCACCUCUUUCAGUCCGCACAAUGGCCCAGGGUGCACGUCCUUUAGUUGGUCCCAUUUUACAAGCAAGUGGCCCAGCAGUCGUGCGGCACCAGCACACACAGACAGAGACACAGGGAUGUGCGAGGCCGCGUGACUCCCUGCCCUCGCCGCGCCAGUCCCUGCCCUGUCUGCUGCCGUUAUGUUCAGCCAGGACGCCCAGCACCCCCGUCCAUCCCUGUGGACGUUUCCUAGCCCUGGACAGAGGAUUCACCCCUUCCUUCUCUGGGGUUCACACACAAGCUUCCAUUGUCUUCUACUAAACUACAGUAAAUGCUACACUACUUCAGGGCAGGACUGGUGCCUGACUCAUGUUUGUUCACUCCAGGCACAUGGCAAACCUAGCAUAACGCUGGUAGCUGAACUAAUGAACUAAUACCGCUCCGCCCACCCAGCCCCAUUCCCACACCAGAGACAGCCUCCCAGCCGCUGUGUUCUGUGGCCUGUGUAGGGACUUGGAAUCUCAGGGCCCUGACUCAGAAGGGCAGGAAGUGGCCUGAGUCCGCUGCCUUUGAAUUGCUUUCCACCCUGGCUGGCACUUCCCUGCCCUGGAGUGGUGCCGACGACCCCAGGCCUCACUCAGCACUCACACCGGCCCCUCUGGCCAACACUGACCUGCCCACACCGCGGACUCUGGGACACCCUUUGUGUCCCUGCAUGUCUGGGGCUCUGAGGUUUCACCUGGGAACCCCUGGCAAGGCUGGUCCCUGUCCCUGUGUCCUGCCUCCUGGAUGACCAGGGCCUCCUUGCCCCUUGUGGCUUGUCACCAGCCUGUGUUCUGUCAGGCAGCAGUACACAGCCCCCCUCUCUGGGGACCCUCCCUCCAUCUUGCCCACCUCACAGACCUACCCUGCCCCCAGGACACCCAGCAUAAUCUCCUUAAAGGACCUGGGUGACUGCAGGUCCUGGGUGGCUGCAGGUAGCAGAUAGGUGUCCUGUGGGCAGUGCUGGCCCCCAGAGACCAGCUCUCUGCUCAAACAGGGAAGGCAGAAAUCGCAGGGAGAGCAAAGAGGGGUUGGGUGAGUAUUUGAAUCCUGUGUCGUCGGCCCUGGAACCCCACACAGGCUUCUCACCUCCAGCCUCUGCCUCCCCCUGCAGUUCAAGUGCUACGGAUGCAAUAGCUCAGCGACUGGCAGCGCAGCACGUACCUGCUGUCGUGGGAGGUGAGAGCCGCCAGUGCCCGACAGCGGCUGCAAGGCAGUGGUGGCACUCUGCAGCCAGCCGGCCCACCCCUCCAGCAUCUGCAAGGGAGAGGUAAGUGCCCCAGCGCAAGCUGGGGACAAGGAAAGGGCCCCAGCCUGGCCUCCAGGAGCCCCCAAAGGGCUGGGGUCAGGCAGAUGGGUGUGGGAAUAGCAGAGCACACAAGAUUCUUGGCCACGAGCCCACAGUGCCAGGCCCCUCAGAGGCUCUACAAAGCCCUGGGACAAGCAGCUCCUGCUGAGAGAGUCCAGGGCACCACGGCAUGCCCCUGGGGCCACCCACGAAACCUGUGAGCCACUCAAGGCCAGGUCCAGCCCAUGAGUCCUCUGGUCCACCCUCUGCCUCUGCCAUAUGCACCGGGACGGCCAGCCCUUCCUCCCCACCUGUGCCUGCUUCUGAGCCAAAGCCAUGACACCUGCCCUUCCCUUGCAGGGAGGCUGCCUCACCAAGCUACCUGCUACUCAUGGGGGCGAUGGGCAUCAGGGUGGCCUGCCUGGAGGUGAGUUGCAGUUGGGAGAUUAGGAGGAAGGUAUGUUGCAGUUGGGAGAUUAGGAGGAAAUACUCACUCGGGAUAUUAAACUAGGCUCUGAACCCGUCUCCAGCGGCAGAUAUCUCCAGUAACUGGGCUGGCAUGUCCGUGCCCUGCGCUGCUCUCUUCUCUCACCUUCCCUUUGCAACCAAGGCUGAUUCCCACAGUCAGUCUCUCCCCCAGAGAACAUGAAGGAAGAUGCCUGAGGGACAACAUGAACUUGUCAGGAACAGGGGCCUGGGAGGAGUGUGGAUGUGGGCUCAGGUACGGGCAUGCACCUUGAGUGUGUGCAUGUGGGGGUCAGUGUGCAAGCCUGCCCUGGUGUGUGUGGGUCCGUGGGGGUCCCCAUGUUCCCGGGUCUAUGUGGGUGGGGUGGUAUGCACUAUGUGUGUUUAGGGUGCUUGUGCAUGUGUGAGUGUGUACAUAUCUGCAUUCAUUCCUCUGUGUGUGUCUGCGUCUGUGGGUGUCUGUGUGUGUGUCUGUNNNNNNNNNNUGUGUGUGUGUCUGUGUCUGUGUGUGUCUGUGGGUGUGUGUGUCUGUGUGUGUGUGUACCAUCAGCCCUUCAUAUCCACGGGUUCUGUAUCCUUGGAUUCAACCAACCAUGGAAUAAAAGUACUAACAAAAAUGAUGGUUAUGUCUGCACUGAACAUCCUUGUCGUUACCCCCUAAACAAUACAGCGUGACAACGAUUUACAUAGCAUGUGGAUUGUAUUAGGAAUUACAAGUAAUCUAGAGAUGAUUUAAAGAAUGUGGGAGGAUGUGCAGAGGUCAUAUGCAAAUACUGCACCAUUUUAUAUCAGGGACUUGAGCAUCAGUGGAUUUUGGAAUCCAGAACAACUGUAUAUAUGUGCGUGCGUGCGUGUGUGCGCGUGCGUGUGUGCACGUGUGUGCGUGUGUGCGCGUGCGUCUGUGCGUGUGCGUGUGUGCGUGCGUGUAUGAGCACCGUCUAGGGAAGAGGAAGAGUAAUGCUUAGGCCUCAGAAGACCCGAGUCCAGUCCUGGGUUUGCUCCUGUGUGACCUCGAGCUACUUAACUUCCCUAUCCCUCAACCCUUCAUCUGCAAAAUGUG